UCCGGUUUGUCACCGGCAGUCACGCCAGAGUGCCCGGCUUUACCCGUUGGCAACUGGCAUCGAGGGUUGCGCUCGUUGCGGGACUUAACCCAACAUCUCACGACACGAGCUGACGACAGCCAUGCACCACCUGUCUUGGAGUUCCUUGCGGCACUCCCCUGUUUCCAGGGGAUUCUCCAGAUGUCAAGCCUUGGUAAGGUUCUUCGCGUUGCAUCGAAUUAAACCACAUGCUCCACCGCUUGUGCGGGCCCCCGUCAAUUCCUUUGAGUUUCAGUCUUGCGACCGUACUCCCCAGGCGGGAUACUUAACGCGUUAGCUACGGCACUGGGGGAGUCGAUACCCCCAACACCUAGUAUCCAUCGUUUACGGCUCGGACUAC
rnacentral:misc_RNA from 1 species